rnacentral:rRNA from 1 species
UACAGAGGUCUCAAGCGUUGUUCGGAUUCAUUGGGCGUAAAGGGUGUGUAGGUGGCGCGCUAAGUCGGGUGUGAAAUUUCGGAGCCUAACUCCGAAACUGCAUUCGAUACUGGCGUGCUUGAGGACUGGAGAGGAGACUGGAAUUCAUGGUGUAGUAGUGAAAUGCGUAGAGAUCAUGAGGAAGACCAGUGGCGAAGGCGGGUCUCUGGGCCGAUACUGACACUGAGGAGCGAAAGCGUGGGGAGCGAACAGG